GCCCGGGUGGUGAAAUUGGUAGACACAAGGGAUUUAAAAUCCCUCGGCUUAUAGCUGUGCGGGUUCAAGUCCCGCUCCGGGUACCA
rnacentral:tRNA from 1 species